rnacentral:lncRNA from 1 species
CCCAUUUACCUUCUUAAUGUAUUAAAAUCUGAUUUUAUUUCACAUGAUUAGAGGUCAAACUCUUACACUAUAUUUCAGGACGGAUGAUGUGUAGAAGCCUACAUGGAAGCUUAUCAUCACACUCCCUUUGUUAAGGUAACUUUCCCCGUCACCUAGACAUAUGUGACAAAGCUAAUUGUCUACUUUUAAAAAAUCAUUUAUAUGGUAUGAAAAGGUUGUGAUUUAUUCUAAUAUAAAAAGAUAGUCUUGUCCCGUCUGUACGGCAAAGUAGAGCUCCUACGAAACAGAAGUGACACGACAAGUUUUCACAUGAAUAUGUGCCGAUAGAAGAUUUCUCUUGUCCAAUACAAAUAGCACACAUUUAUCACCCUAAUUGAUGCCGCGCAAGGAUGAUUUUGCCACACCAUAUGGACUGACACGGCCAAAACAGAAAAAAAAUUGAGUGUUUUUCUAAUAUAUGAUUUAAGAAAAAGGUUAAAAAUAAAAAAAAGGGUCCAUGUUCGAUUUCUUACCGAACAUCGUUGAAGCAUGAUAUUGUUUUUUUAGACUAGAGUUUGAUUCACCACCUCAGUUAUGGCUUGCCACAGAUUGUAAGCUCACAAUGUGUCAAACUUUGCCAUAGUUGUGACUUAAAAAAAUACACACUUUAUAUGGCAAGCAUAGUUUGCCUAAGAUUAGGUGAACACAGGAUUAGAACCAAUGGCGAAGCCACAUGUUAACUAGGGGGUGAAAAUGCACCCUCUAAAAAUUAUAAAACUAGUGAUUAGGUCUAAAAUUUUAUCAUAUAUGCUUUCCUCACGGAAGAUGUUUAUGCACCCACAGCUAAGUAUACCCCCCUUCAAUUUGCUCUAGCUUCGCCACUGAUUAGAACAUCUCCAAUAUUACCUAGCAUUUCUAAGAUGACCAAGCUCCAUUUUGGAACAAACCCUGUCGACGAAAGCUAGUCGACAGUCUACCUUGGGGUAUAUCCACGAACUUGAUGGUGACGCAAGACACAGACCAAGAUUUUAUCCAGGUUCGGCCGCCGUGUGGGCGUAAUACCUGCGUCCUGCAUC